AGAGUUUGAUCCUGGCUCAGGACGAACGCUGGCGGCGUGCUUAACACAUGCAAGUCGAACGGAAAGGCCCUUUCGGGGGUGCUCGAGCGGCGAACGGGUGAGUAACACGUGGGUAAUCAACCCUCGGUACUGGGAUAGCCCGGGGAAACCCGGAUUAAUACCGGAUGGCCCUUCGGAUCUUCGGUUCCGAAGGAAAAGGUAGCUUCGGCCUCCGACCGAGGACGAGCCCGCGGCGGAUUAACUUGUUGGUGGGGUAACGGCCUACCAAGGCGACGAUCUGUAGCUGGUCUGAGAGGACGAUCAGCCACACUGGGACUGAGACACGGCCCAGACUCCUACGGGAGGCAGCAGUGGGGAAUCUUGCGCAAUGGUCUAACGACUGACGCAGCGACGCCGCGUGUGGGGGGACGCCUUUCGGGGUGUAAACCACUGUUGCCCGGGACGAACACCUCUUUUCGAAGAGGCUGACGGUACCGGGUGAGGAAGCACCGGCUAACUCCGUGCCAGCAGCCGCGGUAAUAC
rnacentral:rRNA from 1 species